rnacentral:lncRNA from 1 species
GACAUUCUGAAAGUUGAUCUGAAGGUUUUGUGACUAGAUCAUGUGACCAGUCACAUGACAUGCCCUUAAAAGGAAAGGCGUAGAAACAGGUGAAAGAAGAACCAGGAAGUAAACAGUGGUGGCGUUCGGACCGUCGCCUGGACAGAGAGCAUUUUUAGUAUAUAAGUACCGGUUUUGGUUCCUGUAGACUGAAAUGUGUGGAGUUUUGAUCUAGGUUACAUAAUGGCGGACACCAGGCUCUGACGUUAACCAGAAUGUCAGCACAACAGGCUGAGUUAAGGCUUCACCCUGGGAUUAUUGCAUCGGUGAUCUUUGUCUGUGUGGCAGCAGUAACUGCUGCCGUAUUGAUAAUUCGAAAAUACUGCUUCCCAGUCAAUGAGGCGACAUACAGAUACUCUGUGCUGAAGCGGAUGGAGGAUCAGCAUUCGCUGGUGACAGAGGAGGAUGGUGACAGGGGUCCCUGCACAGCGGGAGAGGAGUCAGACGAGGAUCUUCUGGAAUAAACCUCCACCUUGGAUGCAGGCUCAAAAAACAAACAAAAAAACAAAAAAGGAGAUCAUUGAAGAGAGAGAGAGAGAGUGGUUUGGGGCAUCAAAUAACUUCUGUUAUUAAUG